CCCCUCUCAGGGUCACACCCGGAGAGUUUCCAGUACUCUACCAGUUUCUUUUAUGGAAGGGAGAGUCAAGCAGAGGCCUACCCAUUCCAUUCCUAGCUUGGGCAGUGGCUAGCGAGUGGAAAGCAAUCUGCCACAAGU